rnacentral:rRNA from 1 species
AUUGAACGCUGGCGGCAGGCCUAACACAUGCAAGUCGAGCGGCAGCGGGAAAGUAGCUUGCUACUUUUGCCGGCGAGCGGCGGACGGGUGAGUAAUGCCUGGGGAUCUGCCCAGUCGAGGGGGAUAACUACUGGAAACGGUAGCUAAUACCGCAUACGCCCUACGGGGGAAAGCAGGGGACCUUCGGGCCUUGCGCGAUUGGAUGAACCCAGGUGGGAUUAGCUGGUUGGUGAGGUAAUGGCUCACCAAGGCGACGAUCCCUAGCUGGUCUGAGAGGAUGAUCAGCCGCACUGGAACUGAGACACGGUCCAGACUCCUACGGGAGGCAGCAGUGGGGAAUAUUGCACAAUGGGGGAAACCCUGAUGCAGCCAUGCCGCGUGUGUGAAGAAGGCCUUCGGGUUGUAAAGCACUUUCAGCGAGGAGGAAAAGUUGGUAGCUAAUAACUGCCAGCUGUGACGUUACUCGCAGAAGAAGCACCGGCUAACUCCGUGCCAGCCGCCGCCGUAA